GCCGGACGCGGUGGCGCGCGCCUGUAGUCCCAGCUACUCGGGAGGCUGAGAUGGGAGGAUCGCUUGAGCCCAGGAGUUCUGGGCUGUAGUGCGCUAUGCCGAUCGGGUGUCCGCACUAAGUUCGGCAUCAAUAUGGUGACCUCCCGGGAGCGGGGGACCACCAGGUUGCCUAAGGAGGGGUGAACCGGCCCAGGUCGGAAACGGAGCAGGUCAAAACUCCCGUGCUGAUCAGUAGUGGGAUCGUGCCUGUGAAUAGCCACUGCACUCCAGCCUGGGCAACAUAGCGAGACCCCCGUCUCU
rnacentral:SRP_RNA from 1 species